CUCAGACUGCUGUGCUAGCAAUCAGCGAGACUCCGUGGGAGUAGGACCCUCCGAGCCAGGUGUGGGAUAUAAUCUCGUGGUGCGCCAUUUUUCAAGCCCGUCAGAAAAGCGCAGUAUUCGGGUGGGAGUGACCCGAUUUUCCAGGAGUCCUAACCUAAAAUAAAAUAGAACAUACUGUGCUUAAAGCAAGGGGGGAAUCAUGUAACAAUAAAACCAGUGAAGAAAAUUCUAAUGCUCAGGUAAGGCCUCAGAAAAAGUGGAAAACAGCUGGUCCUCAGGAUCCUCCAGCCUUUGCCAAGGAAAAGUGGUUUUAAUCACUGAAGAAUGAGGCUUCAACAUAUGGAAAGACUGUAAGGUGUUCCUGGACAGCAAGUGAGUGACUUGCUCACAGGCGGUAAUUCAGGGACCCAGGUUUCUUCUACCUGGUAGCUCUACUGUCCUUCAGAACCUCAGAGCCCUGUGCAUUCAGCCAGCAGGAGAAAGACCACUACUAAGGUCAUUCACUUUGGGAGAAGCCAGUCUUCAUGCCAUGAGGACGUUCAGGCAGCCCUGUGGAGAGAACCACAUGGAAAGGAUCUGAGGUCUCUCACCAGCACCAAUUUGCCAGCUAUGGGAAUGGGCCACCUUGGAAGGAGACUGUCCAGCCCAAGUGAAGGCUGCAGAUAACUGCAGCUUUGGCCAACAUUUGGCUAUAUUGCUUUGGGAAAUCUCAAGCCAGAACCAUCUGGCCAAGCUGCUCUUAAAUUCCUGAUCCACAGAAGUUUUGGAAGGUAACAAGACACACAAUUCUUACAGAUCCCUCAAGAGCUGUUUGAAAAAUAGUGGAUUUUAAAAUCUAGAAGGAGUGUGAAAGGAACCCAGGGGCUUUGCCAAUGGAGUGUCAUCAUUCAGGCCCCAUUUUGAAUCUAAACCAUCUGAUGAACCCUUUGCUGACACAUCAGCCUAUUGCUUCCUGGAAGAAUAAUUUGCACUUCAAGACUAAUUCUGAAACAAUACAAUUGCAAGGAGGAAACACAUUUGGAGUAGAGAAAUUAUAUAUGUAUAUAAAACUUAUUAUCUAACCAGGACAUAUUUGAGGUGCCAGACUAUGUGAGUGAGUGUGCUUUCACAUGACUUCAAUCCCAGCCGUCUGCAUCCAUCUGAGAGAUCCUGAGCCAAAACCUGCCCAACCAAGUCACUCCUGAGUCCCUGACCCACAAAAACUGUGAGAGAUAAUAAAUGAUUGUUAUAGUUUGAAGCCA
rnacentral:lncRNA from 10 species